GACUCCGUAGCUCAGCAGGUAGAGCAGCGGCCUUUUAAGCCGUUGGUCGAGCGUUCGAAUCGCUCCGGAGUCA
rnacentral:tRNA from 1 species